AUCAAAAAAAUUAACUGCAAAACAGCUUCAGGCAGGUCCUUCAGGAGAUGUUCCAGAAGAAGGCAUUGCUAUCAUAGAUGAUGACAGCUCCAUGCAUGUUAUUGCCCCAGAAGAACUUUCAGCGGUACAAGAUGUGGAGGAGAGAAACAAACACCAAAUGCCAAGAGAGCUUCUACUGCUAUUGCAGAGGGAAGGCUUAAGAGACUGCAGAGAAAAAGAGAGCAGAAUGGCAUGGAGAAAUGAGAAGAAACACACACCAAGUCAACUCCAGGAUGCUCUUAGGAUAGCCAAGAAAAAUACGUAU
rnacentral:lncRNA from 1 species